UGGGGAAUCUUGGACAAUGGGCGCAAGCCUGAUCCAGCCAUGCCGCGUGAGUGAUGAAGGCCUUAGGGUCGUAAAGCUCUUUCGCCAGAGAUGAUAAUGACAGUAUCUGGUAAAGAAACCCCGGCUAACUCCGUGCCAGCAGCCGCGGUAAUACGGAGGGGGUUAGCGUUGUUCGGAAUUACUGGGCGUAAAGCGCNCGUAGGCGGAUUNGNAAGUUNGNGGUGAAAUCCCGGGGCUCAACCCCGGAACUGCCUNNAANACUNUNAAUCUUGAGUUCGAGAGAGGUGAGUGGAAUUCCGAGUGUAGAGGUGAAAUUCGUAGAUAUUCGGAGGAACACCA
rnacentral:rRNA from 1 species